rnacentral:rRNA from 1 species
GACGAACGCUGGCGGCGUGCUUAACACAUGCAAGUCGAACGGAAAGGCCCUGCUUUUGUGGGGUGCUCGAGUGGCGAACGGGUGAGUAACACGUGAGUAACCUGCCCUUGACUUUGGGAUAACUUCAGGAAACUGGGGCUAAUACCGGAUAGGAGCUCCUGCUGCAUGGUGGGGGUUGGAAAGUUUCGGCGGUUGGGGAUGGACUCGCGGCUUAUCAGCUUGUUGGUGGGGUAGUGGCUUACCAAGGCUUUGACGGGUAGCCGGCCUGAGAGGGUGACCGGCCACAUUGGGACUGAGAUACGGCCCAGACUCCUACGGGAGGCAGCAGUGGGGAAUAUUGCUCAAUGGGCGGAAGCCUGAUGCAGCAACGCCGCGUGCGGGAUGACGGCCUUCGGGUUGUAAACCGCUUUCGCCUGUGACGAAGCGUGAGUGACGGUAAUGGGUAAAGAAGCACCGGCUAACUACGUG